CACCCAUUUUUUUUUUUAUAUUUUUUAUGCCCUUUUCUUCUCUCUAAAUUUUCCUCUCGUCAUUGCGGCCGGCUUCUCCUUCCCUUCAUCUUCUGUUUCUUUCCCAAGAAAUUCAGCACCUAUCCCCUCUCUUUUACUCACAAUUAAUUGUUACUUCUAUUUUUUUUUCUUCUUCCCUCUCUAUCUCUUCCUUAUCUAAUUUGUUUUCUUCUUAUUCACCUUUUUUCUCCAUCCAUAUUCAGCCACACAUCUGUUCGGCAGCCCACGACCAAACCAGUCGGAUUCCGGCAAUCCACGGCCAGAUCCGUCAAAUUCCGGCAACCCACAGCCUACUCCACCAAGAUCCGGCCACCCCAGACGAACUCUGGCCAAAUCCCGCCACCAACAGCCUCCGACUCAACGUUUUGUAUAAAUUAAUACCGUGGACACUGUCAACAAGCACCAGAAAACAUCAACAAAACACCCGGUGAAAAGGUUAGGGUUUCUGGAUUUACGGUUUUUUUUUUCAAACUCCAACUCCGUUUCAAACAUGAAACCAUCGACGGCGGUAGACUGGGAAUCAAUUAUUGUGAUUUGGCAUCAGUGAUUUUAGGGUCUUGUGUAAAUUUUGUUCGAGUUCAAAUUUGAGGGCUCAAUGCAGCAACAGUCUGAUCGAAACCAGCUUUCUGCAUCAACAAGCUCGAGCACGUAACUGAGAAGGAUAUUGAUCUCGAACAUUGUUACAGAAGAAAUAUAUUUUUUAACUUGUAUCGAAUUGAAAAAUUAGGUGGCUUCCUUCAAUUUUAAUGCAAAACUCAUUCGAGUUUUCUUUCGGUCUAUGUAUUAUAUUUUUUGACUAUUGUGGAAUCAUAUGUAAAUUUGGUCUUCUAAGAAUUUUCUGUGAGAAUUUACUUGAUA